AGACUUGUGCAUUCCUAACAUUGCAUUUUGUAUAUACAGGGAACAGGGAAAACAAUAGUAAUUAGUGUAGGAGCUGAACCUAUUUUGCCAGUAGGUCUUUUUGCCAUUCUGCAUGGUAGAACUUUGAAAGGUACUCUUUUUGGAGGGCUAAAAGCCGUAUCAGACCUUUCAAUUGUAGCUGAGAAAUGCCAGAAAAAGGAAUUUCCUCUUCAAGAACUCUUCACCCAUGAAGUCACAUUGGCCGAUAUAAACAAAGCAUUUGAGCUAGUAAAACAACCCAAUUGUGUCAAAGUUGUCAUCAAUAUGUCAUAGUAGCAAUUGUUUCUAGUGAAACAACCCAAUGGUGUGUCUCAGUGUGAGUGUUAUUUAUUUCAUUCUAUUUUCUCUGGAGCUUUUAUUUAUAUUUAAAAUAAAUGAGGUGGUGGUCCCGUAAAUUUCGAGUGGGCACACGUAAGUUUCUGAA